rnacentral:rRNA from 2 species
GAUAAACGCUGGCGGCGCACAUAAGACAUGCAAGUCGAACGAACUUAAUUGAGAGCUUGCUCUCAAAGCGGUUAGUGGCGGACUGGUGAGUAACACGUAAGCAACCUGCCUAUUAGAGGGGAAUAACAGCGAGAAAUCGUUGCUAAUACCGCAUAUGCUGUGAGUAUCGCAUGAUACAAGCAGGAAAGGAGCAAUCCGCUAAUAGAUGGGCUUGCGUCUGAUUAGUUAGUUGGUGGGGUAAAGGCCUACCAAGACGAUGAUCAGUAGCCGGACUGAGAGGUUGAACGGCCACAUUGGGACUGAGAUACGGCCCAGACUCCUACGGGAGGCAGCAGUCGGGAAUAUUGCGCAAUGGAGGAAACUCUGACGCAGUGACGCCGCGUGCAGGAAGAAGGUUUUCGGAUUGUAAACUGCUUUUAACAGGAAAGAAAAAAAUGACGGUACCUGUUGAAUAAGCUCCGGCUAACUACGUGCCAGCAGCCGCGGUAAUACGUAGGGAGCGAGCGUUAUCCGGAUUUAUUGGGUGUAAAGGGUGCGUAGACGGAAAUGCAAGUUAGUUGUGAAAUACCUCGGCUUAACUGAGGAACUGCAACUAAAACUAUAUUUCUUGAGUAUCGGAGGGGUUUGUGGAAUUCCUAGUGUAGCGGUGAAAUGCGUAGAUAUUAGGAAGAACACCGGUGGCGAAGGCGACAAACUGGACGAUAACUGACGUUGAGGCACGAAAGUGUGGGGAGCAAACAGG